ACUGGGCGGAAAGGGCGCGGAGGCGGACAGUGUAGUCAGAGGUAAAAGCCCAGGGCUCAACCUUGGAACUGCCUUUGAUACUGGCUGUCUUGAGGUCGGGAGAGGUGAGUGGAAUGCCGAGUGUAGAGGUGAAAUUCGUAGAUAUUCGGCGGAACACCAGUGGCGAAGGCGACUCACUGGCCCGAUACUGACGCUGAGGCGCGAAAGCGUGGGGAGCAAACAG
rnacentral:rRNA from 1 species